CCCAGACUCCUACGGGAGGCAGCAGUGAGGAAUAUUGGUCAAUGGGCGAGAGCCUGAACCAGCCAAGUCGCGUGAGGGAAGACGGUCCUACGGAUUGUAAACCUCUUUUGUCAGGGAGCAAGGAGCGCCACGAGUGGUGCGGCGAGAGUACCUGAAGAAAAAGCAUCGGCUAACUCCGUGCCAGCAGCCGCGGUAAUACGGAGGAUGCGAGCGUUAUCCGGAUUUAUUGGGUUUAAAGGGUGCGCAGGCGGCGUGUCAAGUCAGCGGUGAAAUGUCGGGGCUCAACCCCGGCCGGCCGUUGAAACUGGCGUGCUCGAGUUGGAGAGAAGUAUGCGGAAUGCGCGGUGUAGCGGUGAAAUGCACAGAUAUCGCGCAGAACUCCGAUUGCGAAGGCAGCAUACCGGCGCCCAACUGACGCUCAGGCACGAAAGCGUGGGUAUCGAACAGGAUUAGAUACCCUAGUAAUA
rnacentral:rRNA from 1 species